rnacentral:lncRNA from 1 species
GGCUAUGCCAGAGUCUUUCCUCAAAAUUCUCUGCAAUCCACAAUGAACAAAGCUAUGUCUGUGAGUACAGGAUGUUAAAGAUCCUGUAUUUAAGAAACCUCUAUUUUCCUGAAGAAUUUGUGUUUAUGCUGUACAUGGGCUGUUUGCUUGUUUGCCAGCUUUGGUUUCUCAGGGGCUUACCUGUGUUGUCAGGCAGCACGAUGUCUGCUAGUCUCACUUUUCCCAUCAUCCACUAAAAAUAAAUAAGAGGCAAAGACUGAGCUUUAUUUUAUGCUGCAUACUAAACUAGAACAAGAAGUCUUCUACUAAACAGAUGUGAAUUAAAAGGGUGACUGGAAUGUGCUUCAGUCCUUUCUAUACAUCUGUGUGUUCUAAACUAUGCUUUGUCUAAUCUAAGGCCAAAAUCUGCUCCCAUCAAAGUCAGCACAGUAAAGUGGAGCUACUGUGUUAUUUUUAAGCUUUUUAGUGUGAAGAUCUGCUGUUUUAACUCUAAAAUGUCGUUCAAACUUACUGAGGUGGCAUUAUAUCAAUACUAAAUGCAAAUAAGCCCAGCUUCAGAGAUGCUUCCCUAGGCAAUUAAAUAUCAGUGAAAACACAAAUGCCAAUCAACACAAAUCUGUGGAACUCAAAUAGAGGCUUAUAGAUUAACGUAUGCAACUAGUUUCCUGAAAUAUCACAAAAAUGCAGAUUUGGAAGUUCCUUUAGGUAGCCUAAUUCCUCCCAGGGUCUCCGUCUUCUUUCCUGCGAGUAGCAGUUAGUCUCUUUAAAAACACCAAUGAUCUGGAACAGAAUAUUUUCUUCCUGCCAGCACAAGUGAAGUACAUAAUGAUGCUAGACCAUGUUGACUCAUGCUGCUGAAAUCAAACACUAAGAGAGAGUAGUAGCAAAAGAUAAUUUGAGAUUGUGCUAAUGAAGCCAAGGCAUACUGUGGGUGCUGGAUCAUGCUGGGUUGAGUUGGUCAGUCUAAAGGCAGGUCUUGUCCACAGUGCUGGUGAGUACUAAGGAACUGAUUGAAAAGAGACCCCAUACAAACAAGUGCACGUGCCUGCCCUUCACAUAACACAUGAUCUGAUCUUGCACACACACACUUUUAGCGGUGAUGCCUCCCAUUCCAUACAGGUAGAUCUGGCUUUUUGUGCUCCCUUACAUCUGCAUACAAGUCACAUCUCAGCCCUUGUCUCACCACUAGGAAAUACCAGUGCCGCUUUUGGGGAAAGGAGACAUUUCUCUAGCAGGUGCUCCUUUGAGGCAGAUAGGAUUUGCUUUUUUUUGGCUGAACUCCCUGAAUGCAAAUUACAGACAAGUAAUAUGUGGCACGUAAGAGAAUAUUUUAGUCUCCCAAAUAUAUUCUACCUACACACUCUUUCUCUUUGUGAGAGCUGGAUGUUUAAAAAGAAAAUCUUACAGUGUCAGUUGUGAGAUGUAAACCAAACAGACCAUCCUACCAUUAAGCAGUUUCCCAGAUCCUGGAGUCAUGUAGUAACUAUUAUUAGAAAAAGCAGGAUUUGUGUCUGGAUCACAGCUUAGCAACAAUUUGAAUUUGUUCAGGCCAGCGUUCCAAAGUAGUUUUAGACUGAUUUUUUUUCCAAGUUCUAAUAGAAUUUGAUCUGGAUCUUGUAGACUCACAUGAGAAACCAUGAUUAGUCAUUUUCAGCCCUACGUUUGAAAAAAAAAAAAAAGAAAAAAAACUUUGCUAAAAUUUGGGGAAACAUUUUGGUGGGAUGCUGAUUUAUUUUUUUCCUGAUCAAUUUCAAAUUGUAGCAUAAGCAACUGGUUAAUCUUGCAAAGAUGUUAUGUCUACUCUUUUGUCUCUGUCCCACUUUCUCUCUGUAAGAUUUUAUGGUGCUUUAGGAAGGCAUUUUCAGAAAAGGGACAAUUUCAUAAAUGUCAUUACCAGGGUACAAACAGAAUGUGCUUGUACCAUCUUGAUAAGUUUUGCUGCUAUUGUCUUUAUUCUAUGAUGUAAUGUUUUACAAAGAUUAAAAAGAAAAAUUGCAACAAAGACCUUCUGGAUGAUGAAAAACUUUUCCUGUUGUUUUUUUUUUCUCUCUCUCUUUUUUUCCUAUCAUCCAGCAAAAGCAGAGGAGCUGUAAUUAAUCUUAUCUUCCGUGUAUCACACUGGAAAACAGAGAACUGCAGGAAGUCUAUUUUGCUUGCUUUUGAAAGGAAUGUUUCUACAGUGAAACCUCUGUAAAUCUACCCUUGGGUCCUGUUUCUUCCUUGGUCACAGCGCAUCCCAAGUCAUCUCUGUGACAGACCUUCCUUAAUGGGGAAAUCUCCAGCUGCAA